AGGGCGUAGAGUGAGGGUAGAGGUUUUCAACACUGGAUACAGAAUGGGAAAUGCGUGCGUAUUUUUUGCAGAUAUAUGGUGCAUAAAGGCCUGUCGCCUGCACAGAGUUCUUUAUCCACAUUGAGAGAGAGGCUACCUGCCCCUAUGUCUGCCCCAGCUAACCGGAAGUCCUCCUCAGGAUCACGCAGAUUCAACCCCCUGAAGGCUCUGCAGCCAAAACGGCGUUUGCAGCAAAUGUUGUCCUCCCCUACUGCUUUUGACUAUUGCAGGUUCAUAGAGCUAGACAUUCCAAUGGAGGCAGGCUUAAUGGUUUCAAUGCGGCAAAGUCGUGGAUUUCUGUACCCGGAGCGGCACAAUCGACGGCCUGCGGCCCCGGUCAGCACCAGGGACCCCUAUGGCACCUCCUCACUCAGCAGUAGCUCUGGAUCCUGCAAGGGCAGCGACGGGAGCCCUGUGCCAAGGCGUCAGGUGAAGUACACCUCCUGCAGUGACAACCAUGGCAUCCGUCCACCACCCCCGGAGCAGUACCUCACCCCUCUGCAGCAGAAGGAGGUGUGCAUCCGGCACCUGCGGGCCAAGCUCAAGGAGACCAUUGAGAGGCUGCAGGACAGGGACACUGAGAUUGAUGAGCUAAAGACCCAGCUGUCGCGUAUGCAGGAGGACUGGAUCGAGGAGGAGUGCCACCGCGUGGAGGCACAGCUGGCACUGAAGGAGGCGCGCAAGGAGAUCCAGCAGCUAAAGCAGGUGAUCGACGUUGUGCGGACCAACCUGGGCCAGGCAGACACGGGCGUGCAGAAGUACUUCCAGGACAUCAACAUCCAGAACCGUAAGCUGGAGACGCUGCUCUACAACAUGGAGCUGGCUCAGAACGGCUCGGGCCACGAGGGCGAGGAUGAGGCCGGAGCGGGACCCGGACUGCCUCUGUCUGCGUCCUGCGAGGGCUCACCAGCGCGAUCCCUCACCCGCAGCUCCACCUACACCAAGCUGAGCGACCAGGGGCUGGCCGACAAGAAUGGCAACGGGCCUGACUUCCCGAGCCUGUCGGGGGAGGAGACGCAGGACAGCGGCUGCGUCUGCGGGGAUAGCCGGGCCAGUCGGGCUGACCUCCUGCUGGAGGCCACGCUGCUGUCGGAGGAGACGUCAUCGCUGCUGAGUGUCUGCUCCCGCCUGCCACACUCCUCCACCUAUGAGAAGCUCUACAGCAGUGAGAGGGCACUGCCGCUACGGUGCAGUCGCACCUGCCGCAGCCACCCAUGCCUGUCCCACCACCACCUCUACUUGCACCACCUCAGGGAGCAGGGCAUCCAGACAGACUGCGGUGCCCCUUACAACUGCGACCUGGACACCAUCACGGAGAAGGCCUGCAAGUCCCAGGCCUGCAGCCCUACCUCCAUCUGGCUGUCGGAGGAGGGCGAGGACUUUGACACCAUCACCUCGGUGACCACAACCACCACGGCCGCCGAUCCCACUCCGCUGCCACUGCCCCGGUCCCCCUCCUGCCCCCUGGACCUACCCCCCAUAGAGGACGAAGAGGUGCCCUUGCAGCCCCUACCACCCCAGACCUGCCAGCCCAAAAGCACGUCCCCCCCAGGAGUGACGGUGGUGGUGGUGGAAGAGCAAGAUGAGGGUGGUGGCAUGGGAGCUGCGGUGCCAUCCUCAGCGCCUCCCCAGAAGAGCUACUGGAGCCGGCACUUCCUCGUGGAUCUACUGGCAGUGGCUAUGCCAGUGGUUCCGGCAGUGGCCUGGCUGUGCCGAGGCCCUCGCAGGGACGGCCAGCCCGUCUACCAGAUCGGCUCGCUGCUGCGGGGUUGCUGCACCGUCGCACUGCACUCCCUGCGCCGAGGGGGGGGCACAAGGCACUACCCAGCAGGGGGCGGCGGUGGGCUUGGGGGCAUUCCCAUUUGAACCAGCCCGUACCCUCAGUCCAACGAGUUAUGUCACCUGAAAGAAGCGCACUACUCACCGUAUGACCUCCUCCAGCCAUAAACUGAUCUCUAAUAUCACUUCCCUCGCCGUAUUGGAUUAAAGAGAGACACCAGAGAUUCUUUGGAUCGACGCUGAUUGUAAUACCCAGCCGGAGUGCCGAAGGACAGGUCUCCGCUUCUCUCUUUCUCACUCUUUCCGUCUGCCUGUCUUUGGAAGGUGAUGGUUCUGGUGGCCGGGUUCCCCUGCCCCACCCACUACUCUGUGUCCAUGAGUCCGCGUGAUUUUUUUCCUUUUUUCUCCUUGACCGUCAUCAUCAUGGGGAAACUGAGUGAACAGCUGCCUUGGGCAAAAUAUCACAUAAAAAACCAUAAGCUGCUGCAGCUGUGAGUUUUAGUAAUAGAUAUCUCAGCCUUGUGGUCGUAGAAUUGGUGGUGUCCUAGUCCAUAUUUAUAUAUUAUAACACAUGAUGGAAACACCUUGAACAAAAUAGUACAUGCAUCCUUCCUGGUGCCUAAUAUUGAAGAGGUUCAAAGGGACAAGAAAUGUUAAAUAUUUGUGUUUAUUCCAGGUAUGCUGAAUGACAGUGUUAUGUUUUAUGUUUGUUAGCUUGCUUUUAAUUUUUUUAUGUGAAAAUGGUAACGCUUUAUAUCGAAGAGCCCUACAUAAGACCUUCAUAAUACCUAUAUAAACUGUGUAUCCUACAAGCCAGCACCCCUCAUUUCCCCGGGUCUCUCUUUUCGCCCCUCUUUCUGCUGUACUCCUGUUAUACAAUUUCUCCCGAUUUUACGCAUCCACAUUUUUAUGAUCGUGAGCAGACCCAGCACAGCAGGGGGCGACAAUGCACAUAUAAGUGUAGCAUGCACCAGCAAAUGAAUACAAAAAGAAUGUGUUUGUGUGUGCAUUCCCUCUUCUUUCCUACAUUUACACUUCCAGUUAGCGCGCAAACGUCAGAGAACAGCAAGCUAAAAUGAGUGAGAUGAGUGAGACCAAAAAGAACAGGUUCUCCUGUAAGUUGUAAGUUGUAAAUCAGAUCUUUCAAUUAUAUUCAUUAUGUCUUAAAGUAAUUAUGACAAUGCUAUUUUUUCUUUUUUAUCAGACAUGUCUGAUAAAAAAGAAAAAAUAGCAUUGUAAAUCAGAUAUUUUAAUUUGAGAGCCAAACAUCACAUCUUUUGUAAGCUGCAUUGGACCAACUUCAGCACUGAACAUGAAGGUAAAACCGAUGUGGUUCAUCACACAAAACACAGCUAAUCACAGACAGGGCAAUACAAGCAUAAGUUCUUUCAUCCUAUGAAGUCGUUCUGAGGCAGAUCUGCUUACUGUACUAAAAUCUCCCUAAUUAUCACAACCUAAUACUGGCAGGUGUGCUGUGUGUGCUUUCUCAUUUGUCCCUGUAGGCCUUAUGAAUGCGUGACGCAGUUUAUGAUGUUAUGAAGGUCUCGUGUCACAACUGAAAUGUGAAAUUGUUCUUAUCAGUGAUGCUUUACAGACAAUUCUGACAGAUUUCCCUUUAACCAUCACUCUUUCUUAUUGCCCUAGAAUUAUUAUGCGUUUUUAACUUAUUAUUUAAACUGUUAAACUAUCACUUGUGGAUUUGGGGGGCGGGGGGCUCAUUAGAAAUUUUCAUAAGACAAAUCACAUACCAAAGCAUUUAUUAUCAUCUAAUCAGACACCACUUGGGGGGGAAAACAUUGUUCAAGACCAAGUACUUUUCACUGGAAACCUAUAAUCGAAAAGAGUAUAUUGUUUUAUGUGUGUGGUUGUUCAGUCCUUGUAAUCGCACUAUAAAUCACUUUAUGAAAUUAGCUACUACUUGAAGUUACAUUGCAUGUCUCUAAGAGGACCCCUCAGUGAUAAGGGGAUAAAUGCAUUCUUGUGUAAUAAUUUUUAAAGAAGGCAGGGAAGUUCAGUUUUACAGGGAUGCACAUCUGCAAGGAAAAAUUUUCUCCAAUACCUGAGUUUUUAGAUUAUUGAAUUUAUCUGCAAUAGAAGAAUUUACUAGAUGGCUGUGUCCUAGUUAAUAUUGCACUGGACAUUUCGCCAGCUUCAUGAUUUAUGAUAGUUUUGUUUUUUCCCUCUGAACGCAAAAUAAGUUGCCUUUCAACCUUUUUUUCAUUGUGAGUGUGGCAGUGUCAUGUUUUGGCUUGACAAUCCUUUAGAGCUUUGGGAAACAAUAAUACAGCACAGUCUGUCAGGUGUAGCAAACAUCUCAAACUCAAAUCGCAAGCACUUACAAUGAAACUAUGAAAAGUAUAAUAAACAGUACAAAUGAAUGAACUGAUAAACAAAUAUGGAGCAGUUCUCUCCAAAAGAGAAAUGUUUAAAACCUUUAAAUGAUCUGUAUCCUUUUUAUGGGCUGAAAGUAUGUUUAUCUUGCAUUAUUGGUUUGUGAGUGUGCCAUUUAAUGUGACCCAUGAAAUGUCUCUUAAACUGAUAUGUGAGGUUCACAUAUUUUUUUUGAAAGCCAUAUUCUAACAUAGAUGUUUGUGGUACAGUCAGUGCCAGACCAUGACUUGGUUGCGUACGUCGGACUUGGGUGUUGGUUCUGACCCUCGUCACCUUUGCAGCCCUCUGUGUCUGGCCGCUUCUGUGGAGUCACACUGCUCUGCUGGGCAUCUCACCGGCAUACUGAAGGUCCCUUGGAGCAUUCAUGACUCGUGGGGCUUUCAAGCAGAAUGCAACAGCGCUACUGCAGGACUGGAGGACAAGAUGUCAGUGUGAGAGCGACUCAGCCAAAAUGCUGCUCUGGCAAGCAAGCUCGUUAGCAGACAACCUUGGGGCCAAUCCUAGGAAGCCGGAUUCCCCGCCUUGGGACAGGCUCUGCCUCCCCCGUGACCAUGACAUCGGUAAGCAGUGCAUUGGAUGCAUUUGUAGUUCCUUAGCAGAUCACUGGUACUGGGCAGGGCCUCAAUGACUAAGCAGCUCCAGUCUCUCGGCACAGUGAGUUGUUGGCCACAUGUGCCCUUGCAGUGCUGCUGAGGAGCAGGAAGCGUGGGGUUUGGACCACAGCCCUCAACUGUGAAAGCCCUCACUGCGGGAUCCCCAGCAACAGUGUCAUGCCCUGCAGCCCUUGGUGACAUCAUUUGUUCUGUCCCAUCUCUCUGGUGACAGUAACCAUCAACACGCUGCUCUCACCCCCCUUUCAAGAUGGAUGAACUUGGAUGCGGAGAGCUCAAGCUAUUGCACUUGGAUGUGCCUUUCCCUCUCUGAAUCGAGACAGUAGACCAUCCAGUGUGUACUUCACUGAUCUUGAAAACACUGCUAACAAGGCGUAACAAGUGUUUAGUAAGGGUUUUGAGGUUCUGGCUCUUUGGUUAGCAGGACACGCAUCAAGCGUUGAUGGUGCUCUCCAUCCUCGGCAGCUGUGGUCUGGAAUAGGGUGUCAAACCAGGAUUCCUCCCUUUAGAUGUUCGCUUCAUGCAGCAAAGUGUUUGUCGCUAACUAUUAGUGACAGUUCUGAUAAUUAUAACCUGCAAUCAAGAAUAACAACGACACAGCAGGUGCAACUUUCCAGCAUUAAAUGGUUUAAUCUGGGAGGGCUAUGCCAAACACUUUAAUCCUAUAAUGUUAUAUAACCAUCAAAUUAAUAUAACUACUUAGAACAAUUAGCCUGUUCCUGAUAAUUUUAAACUAAAAUGUGUAACUACUGCUAUUCCUUAGAGUCAUUUACCUGUAUUGUAUUACAUUAAAAACACAAAUUCACAUGCAGGGUGACAAGUCAAGUAUGGUCAGAAAGCGUUGCUGAUCUUUAAUCAGCUUUUGGAGUAUUAAUAUUGAACCAUUACAUGAAUUUCUAUCCCAAGGAUUUAGCUCUUUGUACAACAACAAAUACCAAUUCUUCUUCCUGUCCAUAUUCAAGGACAGCCAGGAACCUCACCUCAGCAGAGAAGUGUGUGAGGUUAAGUACAGGAGUGAAACUUUUUGCUACUAGCCAACUGGGUUAGUACAAUAAAAAAAAAUAGUGUGACAUACAGUUUUACUAGCUAUUGGGCUAGUGUUCAGUUUUCUUGCCUCAGGUGAGAAUUUCCAGUCCUGGUUAUGUUGCCAAGCUGGUGGAACUGAAAAUUUUUCCUGUGACUGUCAUCUGUGGUUGUGUGUGUGUACACAUUCCUUUGUGCGCAGUGU